UACUUAUGAGAAUUGCGGCCAAAUCCCAAAAGGCAUGAAGUGGCUCCUCAUGACCUUCUAAAUGUCUUUUCGCAGGGACUUGAAAGGUAGCUCCUUGCACAGCAGAGCUUUUCUGCCAGGUGGAGAGAGAGAACUGGUUAAUUCGCCUGGAGCAUCUCUCUGAGCCUUAGCAUCCAGCAAGGAUGCAUCCGACACUCCUGGGCUUUGGUCCGGCCUUCUCAGCAGGGCUCCUGGGCCUGUAG
rnacentral:lncRNA from 10 species